AGAGUUUGAUCCUGGCUCAGGAUGAACGCUGGCGGCGUGCCUAAUACAUGCAAGUCGAACGCUUCACUUCGGUGAAGAGUGGCGAACGGGUGAGUAAUACAUAAGUAACCUGGCAUCUACAGGGGGAUAACUGAUGGAAACGUCAGCUAAGACCGCAUAGGUGUAGAGAUCGCAUGAACUCUAUAUGAAAAGUGCUACGGGACUGGUAGAUGAUGGACUUAUGGCGCAUUAGCUUGUUGGUAGGGUAACGGCCUACCAAGGCGACGAUGCGUAGCCGACCUGAGAGGGUGACCGGCCACACUGGGACUGAGACACGGCCCAGACUCCUACGGGAGGCAGCAGUAGGGAAUUUUCGGCAAUGGGGGAAACCCUGACCGAGCAACGCCGCGUGAAGGAAGAAGUAAUUCGUUAUGUAAACUUCUGUCAUAGAGGAAGAACGGUGGAUAUAGGGAAUGAUAUCCAAGUGACGGUACUCUAUAAGAAAGCCACGGCUAACUACGUGCCAGCAGCCGCGGUAAUACGUAGGUGGCGAGCGUUAUCCGGAAUUAUUGGGCGUAAAGAGGGAGCAGGCGGCACUAAGGGUCUGUGGUGAAAGAUCGAAGCUUAACUUCGGUAAGCCAUGGAAACCGUAGAGCUAGAGUGUGUGAGAGGAUCGUGGAAUUCCAUGUGUAGCGGUGAAAUGCGUAGAUAUAUGGAGGAACACCAGUGGCGAAGGCGACGAUCUGGCGCAUAACUGACGCUCAGUCCCGAAAGCGUGGGGAGCAAAUAGGAUUAGAUACCCUAGUAGUCCACGCCGUAAACGAUGAGUACUAAGUGUUGGGUGUCAAAGCUCAGUGCUGCAGUUAACGCAAUAAGUACUCCGCCUGAGUAGUACGUUCGCAAGAAUGAAACUCAAAGGAAUUGACGGGGGCCCGCACAA
rnacentral:rRNA from 1 species